UACAGAGGGGGCAAGCGUUAUUCGGAAUUAUUGGGCGUAAAGGGCGCGUAGGCGGCUUUGCAAGUGGCGGGUGAAAGCCCUCGGCUUAACCGAGGAACUGCCUGUCAGACUGUGAGGCUUGAGACCGGGAGAGGUGAGUGGAAUUCCCAGUGUAGCGGUGAAAUGCGUAGAUAUUGGGAGGAACACCAGUGGCGAAGGCGGCUCACUGGACCGGAACUGACGCUGA
rnacentral:rRNA from 1 species